rnacentral:rRNA from 1 species
UGAAUACGAGAUGCUACGGCGUCGAAGCAGUGUAUGUCAGACUUCCAAGAAAAGCUCGCAAUGUCAUAAAUAAAGAAUGCCUGUACCAUAACCGACACAGGUGGGUAGGUAGAGUAUACUAAGGGGCGCGAGAUAACUCUCUCUAAGGAACUCGGCAAAAUAACUCCGUAACUUCGGGAGAAGGAGUGCCUUCUUUAAGAAGGUUGCAAUAACAAGAUCCAAGCAACUGUUUAUCAAAAACACAGGUCUCCGCUAAGUCGUAAGACGAUGUAUGGGGGCUGACGCCUGCCCAGUGCCAGAAGGUUAAAGAAGCUGGUUAGCAAUAGCGAAGCUGGUGACUGAAGCCCUGGUGAACGGCGGCCGUAACUAUAACGGUCCUAAGGUAGCGAAAUUCCUUGUCGGGUAAGUUCCGACCCGCACGAAAGGCGUAAUGAUUUGGAUACUGUCUCGGAGAGGGACUCGGUGAAAUAGACUUGUCUGUGAAGAUGCGGACUACCUGCACCAGGACAGAAAGACCCUAUGAAGCUUUACUGUAACCUGAAAUUGAAAUUGGACUUUAUUUGCGCAGUAUAGGUGGGAGGCGUUGAAAGUAAUCUUGCGGGAUUAGUGGAGCCAUCAGUGAGAUACCACUCCUAUAAUGUUAGAUUUCUAACUUUGGAUCAUGAUCUGGUCAAAGAACAGUUUCAGGCGGGCAGUUUGACUGGGGCGGUCGCCUCCCAAAUGGUAACGGAGGCGUACAAAGGUUUCCUCUGAACGGGUAGAAAUCGUAUCUAGAGUGUAAAGGCAUAAGGAAGCUUGACUGUGAGACCUACAAGUCGAGCAGGGACGAAAGUCGGUCUUAGUGAUCUGACGGUGCUGAGUGGAAAGGCCGUCACUCAACGGAUAAAAGUUACUCUAGGAUAACAGGCUGAUCUCCCCCAAGAGUUCAUAUCGACGGGGAGGUUUGGCACCUCGAUGUCGGCUCAUCGCAUCCUGGGGCGGUAGUACGUCCCAAGGGUUGGGCUGUUCGCCCAUGAAAGCGGUACGCGAGCUGGGUUCAGAACGUCGUGAGACAGUUCGGUCCAUAUCCGGUGUAGGCGUUAGAAUAUUGAGAGGAGCCUUCUCUAGUACGAGAGGACCGAGAAGGACAUACCUCUGGCGUACCAGUUAUCGUGCCAACGGUAAACGCUGGGUAGCUAUGUAUGGAGAGGAUAACCGCUGAAAGCAUCUAAGUGGGAAGCCCACCUCAAGAUGAGUAUUCUCAC